UGAGGAAUUUUGCGCAAUGGGGGAAACCCUGACGCAGCAACGCCGCGUGAGUGAUGAAGGAUUUCGGUUCGUAAAGCUCUGUCAAGUGGGAAGAAACUAUUUAAUGUAAACAGCAUUGGAUACUGACGGUACCACUGAAGGAAGCACCGGCUAACUCCGUGCCAGCAGCCGCGGUAAUACGGAGGGUGCAAGCGUUAUUCGGAUUUACUGGGCGUAAAGGGCGCGUAGGCGGCUUGAUAAGUCAGUCGUGAAAGCCCGGGGCUCAACCCCGGAAGUGCGAUUGAAACUAUCAGGCUUGAGUAUGGUAGAGGGAAGUGGAAUUCCUGGUGUAGCGGUGAAAUGCGUAGAUAUCAGGAGGAACACCGGUGGCGAAGGCGACUUCCUGGGCCAAUACUGACGC
rnacentral:rRNA from 1 species